rnacentral:piRNA from 1 species
GAAAUGGGCGUGUGGGUGGCAGGA